GCCCACUACUCUAGCUCAUUUAAGCUUUUGACCAUGGCAUGCGAGGCUUGACUUAUUGACUUGUCUUCCUUUUUCACGUAGGAUUGACAGCGCCACGUGAAUAUCUUGACUCGUGCUUGGAAAACGUUGACUUGGUCGUCACCGCGUAGGAUUUACGGCUCAGCUCAUAUAAGGAUUUUAUUUUACUGCAACACAUAGAAUUUUAGCUAUGCUUGUAGUUUGUGGGAUUUAUGUCUGCAUGCAACAUAUGACUAAGGGAAAUUCUGUGUCCGGUCCCGGUGGUGAUGGUACGGUCGGCGCCGGAAGUUAAUUUCUUUAAAAUUACAACCAAUAUGCCACAGUUUUAUUUUCUUUUCCUCCAGUUUUUUUUCACAAUUUCUCCUACUCCGUCUUACAACCGACGCCACCACACCCGCAUGCCGACCUCGACGGCGUCAUGAGUUGCCUACACAUAAAAUAAAAAUAAGUAGUCUGUGAUUUUGUUGAACCGUAGCAACGCGCGGGCACACCUGCUAGUUUCAUCUUAAUUUGGCUGUGAAGUGAAUCAUGAAUUCCUUGUA
rnacentral:lncRNA from 1 species